GACGAACGGCUGCUGAGUUUGGCAAAGCAGGCGGUGCUCCGGUCAGGGUACCUUGUCACGUAAAUCAUCAUUAGUGGAUGACAUGAUAACGGAAGAUUUCGACAGGUUUGCCUCCAUCAUCAGGAGGGUGGAGAGCUCGCGCAAGCUCGCUCGAUUGCAUGCUAAAGCCAAUACUUCCAUCAAGGAAAGUAUUGAUGUUUGGAGGAAGAGACAAGAUAAGCUAUAAAAUGGUUUGCCCUUAUGAUGUAUU